rnacentral:rRNA from 1 species
CAUAGGUUAAUGAGGCGAACCGGGGGAACUGAAACAUCUAAGUACCCCGAGGAAAAGAAAUCAACCGAGAUUCCCCCAGUAGCGGCGAGCGAACGGGGAGCAGCCCAGAGCCUGAAUCAGUGUGUGUGUUAGUGGAAGCGUCUGGAAAGGCGCGCGAUACAGGGUGACAGCCCCGUACACAAAAAUGCACAUGCUGUGAGCUCGAUGAGUAGGGCGGGACACGUGGUAUCCUGUCUGAAUAUGGGGGGACCAUCCUCCAAGGCUAAAUACUCCUGACUGACCGAUAGUGAACCAGUACCGUGAGGGAAAGGCGAAAAGAACCCCGGCGAGGGGAGUGAAAAAGAACCUGAAACCGUGUACGUACAAGCAGUGGGAGCACGCUUAGGCGUGUGACUGCGUACCUUUUGUAUAAUGGGUCAGCGACUUAUAUUCUGUAGCAAGGUUAACCGAAUAGGGGAGCCGAAGGGAAACCGAGUCUUAACUGGGCGUUAAGUUGCAGGGUAUAGACCCGAAACCCGGUGAUCUAGCCAUGGGCAGGUUGAAGGUUGGGUAACACUAACUGGAGGACCGAACCGACUAAUGUUGAAAAAUUAGCGGAUGACUUGUGGCUGGGGGUGAAAGGCCAAUCAAACCGGGAGAUAGCUGGUUCUCCCCGAAAGCUAUUUAGGUAGCGCCUCGUGAAUUCAUCUCCGGGGGUAGAGCACUGUUUCGGCAAGGGGGUCAUCCCGACUUACCAACCCGAUGCAAACUGCGAAUACCGGAGAAUGUUAUCACGGGAGACACACGGCGGGUGCUAACGUCCGUCGUGAAGAGGGAAACAACCCAGACCGCCAGCUAAGGUCCCAAAGUCAUGGUUAAGUGGGAAACGAUGUGGGAAGGCCCAGACAGCCAGGAUGUUGGCUUAGAAGCAGCCAUCAUUUAAAGAAAGCGUAAUAGCUCACUGGUCGAGUCGGCCUGCGCGGAAGAUGUAACGGGGCUAAACCAUGCACCGAAGCUGCGGCAGCGACGCUUAUGCGUUGUUGGGUAGGGGAGCGUUCUGUAAGCCUGUGAAGGUGUACUGUGAGGUAUGCUGGAGGUAUCAGAAGUGCGAAUGCUGACAUAAGUAACGAUAAAGCGGGUGAAAAGCCCGCUCGCCGGAAGACCAAGGGUUCCUGUCCAACGUUAAUCGGGGCAGGGUGAGUCGACCCCUAAGGCGAGGCCGAAAGGCGUAGUCGAUGGGAAACAGGUUAAUAUUCCUGUACUUGGUGUUACUGCGAAGGGGGGACGGAGAAGGCUAUGUUGGCCGGGCGACGGUUGUCCCGGUUUAAGCGUGUAGGCUGGUUUUCCAGGCAAAUCCGGAAAAUCAAGGCUGAGGCGUGAUGACGAGGCACUACGGUGCUGAAGCAACAAAUGCCCUGCUUCCAGGAAAAGCCUCUAAGCAUCAGGUAACAUCAAAUCGUACCCCAAACCGACACAGGUGGUCAGGUAGAGAAUACCAAGGCGCUUGAGAGAACUCGGGUGAAGGAACUAGGCAAAAUGGUGCCGUAACUUCGGGAGAAGGCACGCUGAUAUGUAGGUGAAGUCC